rnacentral:rRNA from 1 species
CAGAGAUGCUUUAGUGCCUUCGGGAACUCUGAGACAGGUGCUGCAUGGCUGUCGUCAGCUCGUGUUGUGAAAUGUUGGGUUAAGUCCCGNAACGAGCGCAACCCUUAUCCUUUGUUGCCAGCACGUAAUGGUGGGAACUCAAAGGAGACUGCCGGUGAUAAACCGGAGGAAGGUGGGGAUGACGUCAAGUCAUCAUGGCCCUUACGAGUAGGGCUACACACGUGCUACAAUGGCGCAUACAAAGAGAAGCGACCUCGCGAGAGCAAGCGGACCUCAUAAAGUGCGUCGUAGUCCGGAUUGGAGUCUGCAACUCGACUCCAUGAAGUCGGAAUCGCUAGUAAUCGUAAAUCAGAAUGUUACGGUGAAUACGUUCCCGGGCCUUGUACACACCGCCCGUCACACCAUGGGAGUGGGUUGCAAAAGAAGUAGAUAGCUUAACCUUCGGGAGGGCGUUUACCACUUUGUGAUUCAUGACUGGGGUGAAGUCGUAACAAGGUAAGCGUAGUGCU